UGGGAGUAGACUGGCCAUGCUGCUGUUGAUGUUAUACAAAAUGCUGAAAGUGUGUAAUAGGCCGUGAGGGAAAAAUUAGCCGCUCUUCAUAGGCCUACUGCUUGUGUGUGUGGCGGGUGAGGGUGAGGGAGGCCUGCCCCAGCACGGCCCAGACCAGAGUAUGGGCAAGGUGGCAUCUUCCCUUGGGUACAAGGUGACCAGGCCGCUGCGAGAGUUUAACCUGGAACAGCGGGUGACCAGGGAGCUCAAGAAGGAGAAGCGACCAACAGCACCAAGACACCAGACCACUGCGGCACUCUUCGAGGAGGCUGUCAGGGAUCAGCCGGAGGAGGUGAAGAGCAGUCUGAGAGAGAAGGACACCGACCUUCACCAGCGUCUCAAGAGUGUCUACGUGACCUCCCAGGAUGUCACCGUACCAGUUAAUCCCGUCAACCCGGACCGGCCGCUGCCCAUGGACCGAUCUGUCACCAUGGACCCAGAGUUUGGAUUUAUUGAGCCCAAGUCAGUGCCGUACGGGAAGGUGACACUGCGAAGGGCGGUGGAGGCCAUCAGCCGUCACCAGGAGGAUCCGGUGCUGUGGACGGCAAGACGGUUGGCCAUCGAACACAAGCUUAGCAUCGAACUCACUGAACAGAUGCUGAAACACUUCCAAACCUUCAUCCUGGUUGUGCCGCCGAACCCCAAGGCAAAGCUGGCGUCCGACUCCCUCUCCCGCACCCCCCUGACCGCCCCCCACCACUCCGUCAGGCAGCUACCGGAGGGGGAAGCUGACCAGGACUCCAAGGGAAACAAGAAGAAGAGCUGAUGAUGGAGGGAGUUUAGCCUGGGAUGUGUGAUGUGGGAUGUGAUGGGGUAGUGUGUUUCUCUCUCUCUCUCUCUCUCUCUCAUUCUUCCAUGUGUUGAGUUAUUCUAUUCUUUUAUCACCUUUAUCUCUUGUCUCAUUCUAUUCUGUAUUUUCUUCUUGUGUUUUAUCUAUUCUAUUAUCCUGUUUCUCUCUCCUUUCAUUCUAUUCUGUAUUUUCUUUUUAUUUUAUUCUUUUAUCACUUUUUCUCUCCUCU